rnacentral:lncRNA from 1 species
ACCGACGUGCCCGAUUUUUAUUUGUCAUAGCAUAAGAAGCCCACAAACACAGACACAAAGGAGAACAUAGCGGAAAUUACUUGCGCUUAAUAAAAGAAAUA